ACAAGCGGUGGAGCAUGUGGUUAAUUCGAUGCAACGCGAAGAACCUUACCUGGGCUUGACAUCCCGAGAAUCCCCUGGAAACAGGGGAGUGCCUUUCGGGGAACUCGGAGACAGGUGCUGCAUGGCUGUCGUCAGCUCGUGUCGUGAGAUGUUGGGUUAAGUCCCGCAACGAGCGCAACCCUUGUCUUAAUUGCCAGCAUUCAGUUGGGCACUUUAAAGAGACUGCCGGUGUUAAGCCGGAGGAAGGUGGGAUGACGUCAAGUCCUCAUGGCCUUUAUGCCCAGGGCUACACACGUGCUACAAUGGGUGGUACAAAGAGAUGCCAACUCGCGAGAGCGCGCCAAUCUCAGAAAGCCAUCCUCAGUUCGGAUUGGAGUCUGCAACUCGACUCCAUGAAGUUGGAAUCGCUAGUAAUCGCGGAUCAGCACGCCGCGGUCGAAUACGUUCCCGGGCCUU
rnacentral:rRNA from 1 species